rfam:Citrus sinensis cultivar Ridge Pineapple sweet orange scaffold00516_contig_3, whole genome shotgun sequence.
AUACCACGAUGAGGAUAUCUUCUGAGUAGCUCUUUAAAUCUUUCCCAUGCAUCAUAUAAACUUUUAUCUUCAAGUUGAUGAAAAGAUGUAAUCUCAUUCCUCAAUUU